rnacentral:lncRNA from 1 species
UUACUGAAAAGAAGAGAUAUAUAUAGAAUUGGCUUACACUCGCCACAAGCUACAUCAGAUUCACAUCAGUACAUUACAUAUUCAUCAAGAGUAAGAGCAGGGUCCAACUACGGACGAAAUCAAACGAGAAAAUAAGAACGACGUCCAUCCUUGCUAUGCCAGGCUGCCGGCCUGGAACCCAUCCUAGAUCGAUGAAGAAGAAGAAGAAUAAGCAAC